rnacentral:rRNA from 1 species
GAUGAACGCUGGCGGCGUGCCUAAUACAUGCAAGUCGAGCGAACGGACGAGAAGCUUGCGUCUCUGAUGUUAGCGGCGGACGGGUGAGUAACACGUGGAUAACCUACCUAUAAGACUGGGAUAACUUCGGGAAACCGUAGCUAAUACCGGAUAAUAUUUUGAACCGCAUGGUUCAAAAGUGAAAGACGGUCUUGCUGUCACUUAUAGAUGGAUCCGCGCUGCAUUAGCUAGUUGGUAAGGUAACGGCUUACCAAGGCAACGAUGCAUAGCCGACCUGAGAGGGUGAUCGGCCACACUGGAACUGAGACACGGUCCAGACUCCUACGGGAGGCAGCAGUAGGGAAUCUUCCGCAAUGGGCGAAAGCCUGACGGAGCAACGCCGCGUGAGUGAUGAAGGUCUUCGGAUCGUAAAACUCUGUUAUUAGGGAAGAACAUAUGUGUAAGUAACUGUGCACAUCUUGACGGUACCUAAUCAGAAAGCCACGGCUAACUACGUG